GACGAACGCUGGCGGCGUGCCUAAUACAUGCAAGUAGAACGCACAGUUUAUACCGUAGCUUGCUACACCAUAGACUGUGAGUUGCGAACGGGUGAGUAACGCGUAGGUAACCUGCCUGGUAGCGGGGGAUAACUAUUGGAAACGAUAGCUAAUACCGCAUAAUAUUGAUUAUUGCAUGAUAAUUAAUUGAAAGGUGCAAUUUCACCACUACCAGAUGGACCUGCGUUGUAUUAGCUAGUAGGUGAGGUAACGGCUCACCUAGGCGACGAUACAUAGCCGACCUGAGAGGGUGAUCGGCCACACUGGGACUGAGACACGGCCCAGACUCCUACGGGAGGCAGCAGUAGGGAAUCUUCGGCAAUGGACGAAAGUCUGACCGAGCAACGCCGCGUGAGUGAAGAAGGUUUUCGGAUCGUAAAGCUCUGUUGUAAGAGAAGAACGGGUGUGAGAGUGGAAAGUUCACACUGUGACGGUAUCUUACCAGAAAGGGACGGCUAACUACGUG
rnacentral:rRNA from 1 species